GUUCCUGUGUCCUAGUGGUUAUGGAGCUCGCCUUACAAGAAAUCUGUGAUUAAAAACGAUUUCGUAGUACCGCGAGAGAUCCCCGGUUCGAUCCCGGGCGGGAACA